GAUGAAGAACGCAGCCAAAUGCGAUAAGUAAUGUGAAUUGCAGAAUUCAGUGAAUCAUCGAAUCUUUGAACGCACAUUGCGCCCGCCAGUAUUCUGGCGGGCAUGCCUGUUCGAGCGUCAUUUCAACCAUCAAGCCCCCGGCUUGUGUUGGGGACCUGCGGCUGCCGCAGGCCCUGAAAACCAGUGGCGGGCUCGCUAGUCACUCCGAGCGUAGUAAUACAUCUCGCUCAGGGCGUGCUGCGGGUUCCGGCCGUUAAAAAGCCUUAUUUACCCAAGGUUGACCUCGGAUCAGGUAGGAAGACCCGCUGAACUUAAGCAUAUCAAUAAGCGGAGGA
rnacentral:misc_RNA from 1 species